rnacentral:lncRNA from 1 species
GUGUAUUUGCACAAUGCAGGUCUCGUAAAAGAAACUUAAUUCAGGAUGGCAUGAGUCAGCAAAUUGAACAGUGUACAUAUUUUACACAAGGACUGCAAUGUGGUGUUAAAGAAUAAGGUCAGACUUGGAAAGAGUUUUAAAAGAUGAAGGGUUAUUCCUCUUAGUGAGCAGAUGUAUCUUAUUAGCGGUUUGUAAUCUCUUUGAUCAGUGGUGCUUUCACAAUGGAGGAGGCGUCAGUUUCCAGCUGCACAGGUUUCAUAUUGUCAUAGUCUUAGCAAUUGAAUACAUAGAUAUGAUCCAAGGCUAUAAUUCUUUUUUAUGAUUAAUAUUGAUUAUCUGAUUAAGUAUGGCCACGGAUGAUUGAAGCUCAAGU